ACAUUUCCCAAUUUCAGGGAAUUUUGUUGAAAUAAGUGCAAAUUCUGAAUGCCAGCCAAGUAAUAUUUGCUUUUGGAUUAAGACUGUUAAGUGCAUUUAAGUUCCUCUUCUGCGUUUAUGCCUUUCGUCUUUGUUUCUACAUAAAAGUCGGAGAAAAUUACUGGCUCAUUGUCUGCACAGCUCAUGGAUGACAUCUGCUGCUUUGCCCUCAGCACCUCACGGAAAUUUCAAGGUUAGGAUUUCGAGUUUACUUUUUCAUGUCUUCAUUCAUUCUUCUGCUGACUUCCCAGGAAUAAUAUCCUACCUGUGAAGCUCUAUGACUGCCUAAAGUUUUUACACCCUAAAAUUAUAUGGAAAUUAAGAAAAAGAUUCCAAGCUUACUCUCAGAUCCAAGAAAUAGAAGGAGGAGGGGAAAAAGAGGAAGGGAGAAACAGAGAGAACAAGAAGUGGAAGAGGAGAGUACUAAAAUGUUAAGAAGCAGAGAAUAUAUUUGAAAGGCAGUUGGAGAUCGUUUUACUCGUAUAUAUAUGCAACCAUAAAGUAAGUACAUAACGAUAUGUCAAAACUUCAUUUGUACCUAGUUUUACUUCCAAUAUUAAGACAAUGAGAGAUACUUAAUGGUUUCUAUUUCCAAAAUCAACAAUAUACCAUUUCAGAUGAAUAUGGGAGAAUUAGAAUUCAACUUUGUUGUGUGCCAAUGUGCAAUGUAAAGCACAUACUGAGAAGUUUCUAAGAUUGAAGAAAUGUAUGCAAUUUCAUGUAUACGACAUUUUUAUCAAGAACCUUUUAUAUAUAAGCCUUUUAAUAAAAUCCCACUUUGGAAGUAUCUAAUAUCGUUU
rnacentral:lncRNA from 1 species